UGCAAGUCGAACGAGAGCGACCGGUGCUUGCACUGGUCAAUCUAGUGGCGAACGGGUGAGUAACACGUGGGUAACCUGCCCAUCAGAGGGGGAUAACAUUCGGAAACGGAUGCUAAAACCGCAUAGGUUCUUUAGUCGCAUGACUGGAGAAGGAAAAGAGGCUUCGGCUUCUGCUGAUGGAUGGACCCGCGGUGCAUUAGCUAGUUGGUGAGGUAACGGCUCACCAAGGCCGUGAUGCAUAGCCGACCUGAGAGGGUGAUCGGCCACAUUGGGACUGAGACACGGCCCAAACUCCUACGGGAGGCAGCAGUAGGGAAUCUUCCGCAAUGGACGCAAGUCUGACGGAGCAACGCCGCGUGAGUGAAGAAGGAUUUCGGUUCGUAAAACUCUGUUGUUAGAGAAGAACAGCGCAUAGAGUAACUGUUAUGCGUGUGACGGUAUCUAACCAGAAAGCCACGGCUAACUACGUGCCAGCAGCCGCGGUAAUACGUAGGUGGCAAGCGUUGUCCGGAUUUAUUGGGCGUAAAGCGAGCGCAGGCGGUCAAUUAAGUCUGAUGUGAAAGCCCCCGGCUCAACCGGGGAGGGUCAUUGGAAACUGGUUGACUUGAGUGCAGAAGAGGAGAGUGGAAUUCCAUGUGUAGCGGUGAAAUGCGUAGAUAUAUGGAGGAACACCAGUGGCGAAGGCGACUCUCUGGUCUGUAACUGACGCUGAGGCUCGAAAGCGUGGGUAGCAAACAGGAUUAGAUACCCUGGUAGUCCACGCCGUAAACGAUGAGUGCUAAGUGUUGGAGGGCUUCCGCCCUUCA
rnacentral:rRNA from 1 species